rnacentral:tRNA from 1 species
GGGUCUUUAGCUCAGUUGGUUAGAGCACCUCACUUUUAAUGAGGGUGUCGAUGGUUCGAGUCCAUCAAGACCCA